AAUUUGAAAUCUGGCCCCUUCGGGGUCCGAGUUGUAAUUUGUAGAGAGUGCUUCGGGUGAGACCGCGGUCUAAGUCCAUUGGAACAUGGCGUCCCAGAGGGUGAGAAUCCCGUAUGUGACUGCGGCUCGAGCCCAUGUGAAGCCUCUUCGACGAGUCGAGUUGUUUGGGAAUGCAGCUCUAAAUGGGUGGUAAAUUUCAUCUAAAGCUAAAUACUGGCUGGAGACCGAUAGCGCACAAGUAGAGUGAUCGAAAGAUGAAAAGCACUUUGGAAAGAGAGUUAAACAGUACGUGAAAUUGUUGAAAAGGAAGCGCUUGCAACCAGACCUGCCCGUAGGCGAUCACCCGCUGUUCUCAGCGGUGCACUCGUUCUGCGAUCAGGCCAGCAUCGGUUCGGGCGGCCGGAUAAAGGCCUUGGGAAUGUAGCUCUCCUCCGGGGGAGUCUUAUAGCCCUCGGUGCAAUGCGGCCAGCCGGGACCGAGGACCGCGCUUCGGCUAGGAUGCUGGCGUAAUGGUUGUAAGCGACCC
rnacentral:rRNA from 1 species